GUUUUCAGGGAUGGGAACUGGAAGCUCUUGAAAAUGAGGACUUCAGAGGUGGAGUUAAGAUGACAGCUUAGAAGCAACAAAAGUUCAGACCUCUGAAAACCCUUCCUUACAGAUCACAAACUGAAUGCUCCUAGGGGAUUGAAAUUCAAACUUAACAACAGGACAGAGCUGUGGAACCCUGCUUCUGGACUCAAAUCAAAAGUUUCAUAGGUUAGAAUGAAUUACUAAUGAUGGAUGACUUGAUUGCCUUAAAAGAGAUGAUUCAAGAAAUGAAUGAUGAGAAAAAGUAAAUAUGAAAGAUCCUAGAGGGACAGCCUCAA
rnacentral:lncRNA from 1 species